ensembl:lncRNA
CCCAGAGCGCCCAGCAUUACCCAGCUGGCAGGUACUAAACUAUGUCGAGAGCAUCAUCUAGUCUAUUCCAGCAAUGAAAGAAUGUGAUAUUUCUGAAAAUACCUUGGGAAUAAUGAUGACACUGCUAAGCUAAUUGUAUUUCCCCAGGGUGCCUGACAUCAGUCUGGUGCAGAGAAACAGUUGAAAAAGGGCCCCUUCGUGUUGGCUGUCCUCUACUCACUUCCUUUCCCCCUGAGUAAUGAUGGCCAUGUCCUUUUCUAUUACAAAUUACAUGAUCCUGAGGUAAUUGUUAAGUGAGAAAUUGCAUGAUUUGUUUUCUCUAGGAACAGUGGCUACCUCUGCUCCCACCCUCCAACUUCACAUUCCUUGCCUUUCAAAGUCAGUCACCCUUCUCCUGGCCCAUGCUUUCAAAAAGAACAAGAUGCAUUAACAGCAAGAAGAGACAAGAUGGGAACUUUCUCAUUGACCUAGGUCAUCAGUCUUUCUGAACAAUUAUUGCUAUGGCGCUAUACCAUAUAGGAACCCAUUCCUAAAGGCCCCCAAGCGAAAAUGAUCAGAAUGGAUAAACUCCUUCGGGGGCCAGGCAUACUCUCAUGUUAUUAUACGUAUUCAAACAAAUGUAUUAUUUCAACUUCACAGUUCUUGGUCAGUGAUUUUUCAGGCUUUUAUUCUAGUGACCGAAUUCCCAAUGAAAUCUUUAAGCUGAAACUCCAAAUGUAAAGUGGGUCUGCUUCUGUGGAAGCGGGGCAGCGGCCAGGGCGGAAUGGAGGUGGGAGAGAUUGGAGCGGGGAGGGCUCCACCUGCUCAGCCCGCCCUUCCUCUCCAUCCCCCAGGACUGCCCCAAUCCAGAGGCACCACCCAACUCAAAAAUGGUGCAUACCGCUGUUGCCAAGAAAAUGAGAAAUUCUAUAAGAAUAGUUUUCUCCACUCUCAGAAAAAAAUUGAGAAUUUAGGGAAAAAAUUAUUUUCUAAGAAAAAAUAAAUUACCCAAUUAACCAUUAAAGAGAUAGACCUCCUAAAAACACCGAUUACCUAAGAAGAAAUUGAGAAAUUUCCAGUUACCAUCUUAAGAUGUUCCAGGCCCAGAGAGAUGAAUGUUAUUAAAUAUUUGGGGAAUGAAAGCCUUUAACACUGUUUAAGUUAUUUCAGAGCAUACAGUGAGAAAGAUAUAUUCCAAAUUUCGCCAACCAAUCCAGCAUAACACUGAUGGCGAAACAUGAGAAACAGGACAGAGAAGGUACAAUGGAGAAAACCAGAGCCCCACCUUGCUCGUGUGAAUGUGUGUGUGUGUCUGUGUAUAUAUGUACAUAAUAGAAUUCAGCAACACAUUAAAAGAAUAAUAAACCAUACCCAGGUGGAUUUAUUUCAAAAAUGUAAAAGUGAAACAAUUUAAGAAUAUUUACUGGAAUAAUUCACCACAUUCAUAGGUCAAGGGAGGAAAAACGUGAUCAUUUCAAUAGAUUCCUCAAAGUUAUUUGAAAAGUUAAAAAUCAAUUUAUGGACUUUACAAAACUUCUAAUACAAUAGGAAAGCGUGUGUUAUUCUUUAAGAAAAUUAAAUCUAUGUCUCUAACAAAAACGUCUGCACCGGGCGAAUGAAGAGUGAGAUCAACCCAUUACAAUAGCAGCCAUUGAAUCAGAGAACAGAAAGAAAAUAGUGAAAAUAGAAGACAGGAGGGAAUAAUUUAUUAUUACUGAUAACAUAUACCGUUAAUUUUAUACCUGGACAAAACAGGAAAAUCAAUUGAAAAGCAAUUAAAGAAAAAAUAGAACUUGGGGGCCGGCCCGGUGGUGCAGCGGUUAAGUGCGCAGUUUCCACUUCUCGGAGGCCCAGAGUUCGCGGUUUGGAUCUCGGGUGUGGACAUGGCACCGCUUGGCAAAAGCCGUGCUGUGGUAGGCGUCCCACAUAUAAAGUAGAGGAAGAUGGGCAUGGAUGUUAGCUCAGGGCCAGUCUUCCUCAGCAAAAAGAGGAGGAUUGGCAGAGUUAGCUCAGGGCUAAUCUUCCUCAAAAAAAAAAAAAAAAAAAGUAGAAUUCAACAAAGAAGCUGGUUAUGAAAUUAACAUGCAAAAAUCAAGUUUUUCAUACAAAUAGUAACCAGGAGAAAAUAUAAUGAGGGAAAAUAGAAUUUAUAUAUUAGCAAUGAAUUGGAGGGGAAAUACCUAAGAAUAAAGUUAAGAAUCCACAAUACUUACGUGAAUAAAAGCAUAAUACUCUAUUGAGAGAACUCAAAGACAUAUUUGGAUAAAUUGAAAGAUAAAAGUUGGAUAAGAAAUCUCAUUAGUGUAAACUUCUCAAGUCCCCUAAAUUAACAUAGAAAUUCAAUGAGAUUCCAGUCACUGAGAAGUUAAUUCUAAUUCACAUAGAAAUAUAGCUAUAUAUUACAUAUAAUAUAAUAAUAUAGAAACACGUGUCAGAAUAGCCAGGAAUUUUGGGGGGAAAACCAAGGAGGAACUAGUCCUACCAGAUGCCAAAAUGUACAAAAGUACAGUAAUAAAAUGAAGUUAGUGUUGGUGGAGAAAUAGGUCAUUGGAACAGAGUCUAGAAACAGGCCCAAAUACAUACGUCAUUUAAUAUGUGAGGGUCCACGUGCGGAUCCCUAGGCUACUGUCUCAGCUUCGGAGCCGUCCUGCGCUCGCUCGGCGACGCUGGGCUGGGACGCCGAGCGCGUCUCUCUCGGCCGGCCGGCUGCCCGCCGGUGGUGCCCGCGGGGGCGCUGGGGGAGAGCCGAGCGGGAGGAGAACGGGCGCCGGCUCCUCCGGGCUGCCUCCUGCGGCCGCCGCUGCUGCCCGCGAGCCCUCUGCCUCGGCGGCGAGUGGCCGCUGUUUCCCACGACAGCGAGUUCCAGCGACCUGCGUCUCUCCACGUUCUCAACCAGGCUCGCGUUCUGGGUCUGGGCUCCCUAAGGCCCUCGCCAAACACCGAGAGAAAUUCUAGAGGAAUCAAAGAUUAGCAUAUAAAAAAAUCUGACAGGUUGCAGAUGAGAGGAAGGGGUGAGGAGGAUUCCGAAAAAAUGGCAGUUUAUUGUGCAGAAGCCGUGGCGCUUCCCGACCCAGCCCCAGUCCCGCUGCUCUUCUCCUAAAACAAGCCGCCGCUGAGGCUCCACGGGCGCGGGCAGCGCCCCGGCUCAGUCACCGGCCCGACGAUGGAGCUGGGGUGGGAGUUCCUCCCUGUGCCGGAGGAGAUCCCGGCGACCAGCAUCAGAGUCCUGGGGCAGCAGAGCGGCCAGCGUGGUACCUACGGUCAGGUUGGGCAGUCCGCGGGCCGCAGGGCAGGGCGGGGGCCCCAGGUCACGGCCCGGAGGAGCCGGGGUCUCUCUGGCCUCCGGGUCGAGCUGACUCCUCUCUGUCCCUGAGCAGCGGACGCUCAGGCUUCACUAGCCUUGGCAGCACGGGGCCCGUUGGAGGACUCGUAGCUCGCGGGCGCUCACGCCGCAGUCCACAGGCCGACUGCGGGCCGGCCCUCCUCCCGGGACGGUGACGACGGGACGGUGACGACGGCCGGGAGAGCGCCAGCGGCAGGGAGCCAGCGCGAGAGCCAGAGAAAGAGUCUCCUAGAGUCCCCGAACCGCUGGAGGGACAGACACGUGCCGGGAGCGCUCCAGGGUUCAAGUCCAGCCCUGGAAAGUCUUCCCGAUGAGAUGCGGAUGAACGCUCGCGCCUGGUGACGUCAGCUAAGAGAGAACGCAAAGACACAGUCACCAGCUUAUUACUCGGCACAGCAGUUUCUAGUCGGAGAACAUCACAUGGAAGGAAGAGGAGUGGCUGCCGCGUGGGGAUGAACCCGAAGCACACUGCGCAGUGGAGGAAGGAGGAGGAAGGAGGAGGAAGCAUGUCCCGUGACUCUGAAGUUUGGAUGCAAGAUCACCGUGAACCCCCUAAAUGUUGAGAAAUGGUUGAACGGUGCGGAAAGAAGGCCAUGCCUUCCAAAGAACCCCUUCUCCGCCAGCCCCCCCACUACCAAGUCUUUCUUCCUCCUUCCUUCCUCCUUCGCAGCAAGGUUUUCAGGAGAGAGCUGACAUCUUUAAGGGAAGGAUAGGUGCAUUUUUUGGAUUAGCGAUGCUCUCUGCGGAGUACAGAUGAAGUCGCAUUGCCUCAUGGAGCUCAUGGCUACUAUCUUGGGAACCAACUGAAGCAGCUGGAGAAUUGAAGUCGUUGGCAUUCAUUGGACCGUCUCCAUUCCUUGCUGUAGACAGAAAGACACCGUUCUCAACGUGUUGAGUUUGUGAUCCUAGGGACCAAGCUUUGGCCUUUUACCACUAAGAUGAAAUGACUACAGACCCAUUGACUAAGGACCACAAAGGCUCACGUAAACAUAAGGAAAAGGGUGUGUAUCACUAAGGAUUAGGUUUAACUAAAAGGCAGACCUCCAUGGUAACACUGCUGACUUAAGACAGUGGUAUAUUUCUCUGUCUUGUGUAAAGGUCUGUAAGGUAAGUAAUCCAGGGAUGUUGUAGGAUCUCUAUUCCUCUAAGUCUCCAGGAACUCAAACUCCUUCUGGCUUGCUGCUUUACCAUCCCACUGGUGUGGUCCUUAUCCUCAUAGUCCAAGAAGGCAGCUAGAGCUCCAGCUCUCUCACCACAUUACAAGCAGUGGGAUGGAAAGAGUGACAGAGAUGAAGGGGAGCAUGAUGGUUGAGAUUAUGUGUCGACUUGACUGGCCGUGGGCUGCCCAGAUUAAACAUUAUUUCUAGGUGUGUCUGUAAGGGUAUUUCUGAAUGAGAUUGACAUUUGAAUCUGUGAACUCAGUAAAGUAAAUUGACCUCCCCAAAGUGGGUGGGCAUCAUCCAUUCUGCUGAGGGCCUGAAUAGAACAAAAGAUGGAGGAAGGAGGAGUUCGCUGGGACAUCUCCUCUCAUCUUCUGCCUCAGACUAGGACUGAUGCUAUUGGCUCCCCUGGUCCUCAGGCCUUUGGACUCAGACUGAAUUAUAUCACCGGCUUUCCUGCGUCUCCAGGAUCUGCAGACAGCAGAUUGUGGGGCUUCCUCGCCUCCAUAAUCGUGGGAGCCAAUUCCUCAUAAUAAAUCGCCUUUGAUGUCUAUGUAUCCUGUUGGUUCUGUUUCUCUGGAGAAUUCUAACUAAUACAGGAAGCAAAGGGCAUGUGUCAGGUGUCCUUUAAGAAAGGUUUCUAGAAGCUGUCAUGCUACAAUUCUGCUGCAGCCCAUUAGCUAUAACUUAGUCAUGUGGCCAUAGUUAAUUGCAGGAGGUGCUGAGAAAUACAGCCUUAAUUCUGGGCAACCAUGUGACCUAGUUAAAAACUGGGGAUUCUUUGAUUGUGGAAGAAAGGGCAACCAGAUAUUGGGGAGCAAUUAACAGUUUCUACCACAAAGUCCUCCAUAAUUCUAACUCUGCACUGUAUUGUGGCGGGGCUGGGGGGGCGUUGGGGUUUUUUUUCUUUGCUGGGGGAUUAGCCCUGAGCUAACAUCUGUUGCCAGUCUUCCUGUAAUUUAUAUGUGGGUUGCCACCACAGCAUGACUGAUGAGUGGUGUAGGUCCACACCCGGGAUCUGAACCUAUGAACCCGGGCCACCAAAGUGGAGCGCACCAACCUUAAUUACCACACCAUGGGGCCAGCCCAUGCAUUGUAUUGUUUUUAAUAUAAGAACUGCCACUUACUCCUAGAGAGCUCCAUUGCCUGUAGAAAUUUACUCAGCUACAUUAGGAGAAAAUAAAAGAGUCAACAAAAUAGUUUCUUGAAAUUUUUAUCUCCGUAUGUGUCUGUUGCCCAGCCUGUCUCAUGACAACCAGGGCAAUCUUCUCGAACAACUGCUAGCUCAAUGAAAGAGCUAUCAUAGGACUUUGAACUAUGGGCAAUAAAUGUUAAAUUUAGAUAUUGUGGCAUUACGAAUUUUUUGAUAAAGUGAUCAACUCAUUCUUCACCUUUAAUUCUCACUCACGUUCAUUUCUGAUGAAAUGGGCUGCAACCAAAUGUCCCUAAGUUAUUCUCGGGCUCUCUAAUAACGUUCCUGGUGAUGGCAUGAAACCCACUUUGGAGCAGAAUUGACUCCCCCACUAGUGAAACAUUUGCAUUCCUCCACUUCACCAGCUCUUGCAAAUAGGCCUCAAAGUGCAUUACCGAAUCUUCUGGUGGAAAAUCCCAAGUUUCACAAGGCAACUGGGGCUGAUGCUUUAAUUAAUCCCUUUCACCAAACUCGAGGACAUGCACGGGGGCUGCAGGAACCACCAAGUUCAAAGCUGGUUCACCAUCCGUUUGAAAAUACUGAGGCUUAAUAACAGUCUGACUCGUCCCACAGGUGUUAAAUGUCUGUGGUCAUGGCCCAUAGGGCUUGCUAAAGGCUCCUCCUCCACGCAUAUUUACAGUCCAGAUUCAGUUUGAGUAGGCCAUAACUCUAACGUUCCUCAUUGGUCUCUCGCCACUGCUCACCUCUAAGGGGACAGAGUUCCCACAGGAAGAGUCAGGUGACUUCACCUUCCUGGACUGUAACAGGGAUACUGGGGGCCAGCUUCUGUCCCUGCAGGUUCACUGCAGGCUUCAACAUCCGAGUAACACGGACUUGGAAAGUGCUGAGACCUCCAGAGCCCCUGUGUGGUUGGCUACACCUUGGGGUCUGACUCGUGGGACAGGCAGACGCUGUAUCACAACUGUAGGUACAAGGGAACAGCUUGGCCUACGUGCAUCUGGCCUGGAUGACCGUGAGACUUCAUUGGCGUGUUUAUCCUUGCUGCUGAUUUUUAUCAAAGCUAUUGUCACACCUUGCUUGUGGGUUUUGUUUUAUUAGCUACUCUCAACCAAAUGGAAUUUACGAUGUUUUUAAUAGCCAUAAUUAUCCUUGUUUAAGUCAUUUUAAGGCAGUGGCUUUAUAGUUUUAUGGGAUAUUUUUAGUUUAACUGAGAAGAGUUCAUGCUCUAAAUUGUUUAUAAAAAAAGAGAAAUUGAGGGGCUGGCCCCGUGGCCGAGUGGUUAGGUUCGCGCGCUCCGCUGCAGGCGGCCCAGUGUUUCGUUGGUUCGAAUCCUGGGCGCGGACAUGGCACUGCUCAUCGGGCCACGCUGGGGCAGCGUCCCGCAUGCCACAACUAGAAGGACCCACAACAAAGAAUGUACAACUAUGUACCGG